GAUGAACGCUGGCGGCGUGCCUAAUACAUGCAAGUCGAGCGGCCAGACAGGGAGCUUGUUCCUUUACGGUUAGCGGCGGACGGGUGAGUAACGCGUGGAUAAGCUGCCUCUGAGUCGGGGAUAACAUCGGGAAACCACUGCUAAUACUGCAUAAUAUAUUUAACCGCAGGAUUCAAGUGUGAAUGAUGCUUUUGCUGCACCUAAUGGCGGAAUCCGGGUGGCAUAAGUUGGUUGGUAGGGUAACGCCUACCCAAGGCAACGAAGCUUAGCUGCCCGGAGAGGAUGAUCGGCCACACUGGAACUGAGAAACGGUCCAGACUCCUACGGGAGGAAGCAGUGGGGAAUCUUGGGCAAUGGGCGAAAGCUUGACGGAGCAAGGCCGCGUGGGUGAUGAAGGUCUUCGGAUGGUAAAGCCCUUUUGUUGGGAAAGAAGAAAUGUGGAGUAAACUACGCAUGUAUUGACGGUACCUACACAGAAAGCGACGGCUAACUACGUG
rnacentral:rRNA from 1 species